AGAUUGGGGUGAGUUAGGGUG
rnacentral:miRNA from 1 species